ensembl:snRNA U6 U6 spliceosomal RNA
GUGCUCGCUUUGGCUACACAUAUACUACAAUUGGAAUGAUAAAGAGAAGAUUAGCAUGGCCCCUCCGCAAAGAUGAUACAAAUUCUUGAAGCAUUCCAUAUUUUU